UACGGGGGGGGCAAGCGUUGUUCGGAAUUACUGGGCGUAAAGGGCUCGUAGGUGGCCAACUAAGUCAGACGUGAAAUCCCUCGGCUUAACCGGGGAACUGCGUCUGAUACUGGAUGGCUUGAGUUCGGGAGAGGGAUGCGGAAUUCCUGGUGUAGCGGUGAAAUGCGCAGAUAUCAGGAGGAACACCGAUGGCGAAGGCAGGUCUCUGGGCAUUAACUGACGCUGAGGAGCGAAAGCAUGGGGAGCGAACAGG
rnacentral:rRNA from 1 species